UUCUCUGGCAGGAUUACUGCUCUGGAACCAAAUCGGGCAGCGGAUAGGACAUAAGAAGCCUGACAAUCAACCACAACAUCUGCGUAACCUAAACUAAGAAUUUUUGGCUUUGAAGUUGGAAUGCUACAUAUGAUAGUUCAGAAGCAACAAACCAUUGCCCAAGCCUACCCCUUUUGCUGAAGGACUGUAUAAGCAAGGAAUUGUUGAUGAAACGUCAAGUGAAUAGGAUAUAUAUGCUGAUGUAAAAUUGAUUUGCUUUGUGACAAGGAGGUUACAAAAUGUUCUCUUUUUUUUUCUUGUUUUUUUCUAAAAUGAAAUGUUAUCAAUUUGGGCAAAUUGAAACAUUUUGUAGUCGGAGUAGUUUUAAUCGGAGGACAAUCUGAUCUAUCACCUUAUUAGCUGGAAAAUUCGUGUUAGAUGUAUCAUGCAUAUCUCCACAUCA